CGGAGGCGUCUCGUGACCAGAACCGGAUUCUUCAUUUCCUGGUUUUGUUGCAGUUUAUUUUCUAAGUCGUCAUAACAAUCAGGGAGCAAACAGCUCGGAUUCUAACAUUUUCGAUCUACAUUACAUUUCUAUUUGUGUAUGGUUGAGGAGUGAGAACGGCAAAAUGGGCAAUAUACAGGGAAAUUUGCCAGACUCUAAAGUCAAGGCAGCGAAGGAAGCAUUGAGCUUCGGAUGCACAGGAAAUGGGCUAAAGAAGGAUCAAAUUGGUCCAGUCCAGGACAUCAUCUUCGCAAAUAAAAAGCUGCAGGCCAUGUUCACAGCUCAAGAAGUCGACUCUCAUCAGUUUAGCAUUCAGAGGUUAGAAGACUUCUGACGGAAGUGGACAUGAAACAUUCCUGUUUCAGUGUGUGUGUGUGUGUGUGUUUGUGUUUGUGUGUGUGUGUGUGAGAGAGAGAGAGAGAGAGAGAGAGAGAGAGAGAGAGAGAGAGAGAGUUGUUAAAACUGAUGUUUUCUCUUUUUCACCUUUUCUACAUGUGCAAGUGUUUAAAAGAAAGCAUUUCUUUAUUUUUAUAUUAUUAUUGUGGGAAAUUUACUUGUCCUAAGCCCAGAUAAAAGGGGAAGGUUGCUUCAGGAAGAAACUUUGCCAUAAAACCCGCAGCAAAUGAAAUUAUACAAAUCAGAUGAUCCACUGUGAGACCCUGAAUAUGCGGCAGCUGAAAGAACAAUAACCGCAACAUUGUGGGAAAUGUACUUGAAUUAAAUGAUUUCUGAUUGUUUAACAAUGUUUUCUAGUUAGACAGUAUUUCUAAAAAUCUGUAGAUAAAUUAUUUUAGCAUCUUACAUGAUCAGGGGAAAUACAUGCUAUGUAUUGUUUUUCGUUUCUCUAUGACGAAUCAGACUAUUUUCACAGCAAUGAAGCUCUACUUUAUAUUCUAUAGUGAAGUGAACUAUUUAUUAGAAUCCAAUUCAUGCACUUUAAAAAACAGCACAAUUCAUAACCUUGUAGUUUCUGAAGCAGUGUGGCUUUUAAUAAUAAUUGAUCAUUUGUUUUGGGUCGAUUAUUAUAAAUGAACCAAAUAUUGUCAUUAUGAGAUACAAAAAGGCUUCAUGGGACAAUUUUUUUUUUAAUGUUUUUUUUAAAUUAAUAAAUAAAUUAAAAUGACCUUGAAUGUGUCAAUACUGUA